AUUGAACGCUGGCGGCAUGCUUUACACAUGCAAGUCGAACGGUAACAGGGUGCUUGCACCGCUGACGAGUGGCGAACGGGUGAGUAAUGCGUCGGAACGUGCCGAGUAGUGGGGGAUAACGCAGCGAAAGUUGUGCUAAUACCGCAUACGUACUGAGGUAGAAAGUGGGGGACCUUCGGGCCUCACGCUAUUCGAGCGGCCGACGUCUGAUUAGCUAGUAGGUGAGGUAAAGGCUCACCUAGGCGACGAUCAGUAGCGGGUCUGAGAGGAUGAUCAGCCACACUGGGACUGAGAAACGGCCCAGACUCCUACGGGAGGCAGCAGUGGGGAAUUUUGGACAAUGGGCGAAAGCCUGAUCCAGCCAUGCCGCGUGUCUGAAGAAGGCCUUCGGGUUGUAAAGGACUUUUGUCAGGGAGGAAAUCCCUAGUGCUAAUAACACUGGGGGAUGACAGUAUCUGAAGAAUAAGCACCGGCUAACUACGUGCCAGCCGCCGCAGUAA
rnacentral:rRNA from 1 species